ACGAACGGAUCGAACUCGUUGCGAAUCGAACUUGGUUCGAGUUCGAGCAACGGGUCGAUCCAAGCCA
rfam:Drosophila persimilis strain MSH-3 cont1.015327, whole genome shotgun sequence.